ensembl:lncRNA
CUCUGAAUGUAACCUGGGGGUGUGGGGACACACGGGGAAAGGGUUGGGUCUUGAGUUAUAAUGUCAGGAACACAGUGUUGUAUGGGUUGUUGCAGGACAUUCCCGCCCACCUCCUUCAUUUGCUCUGUGACCCAUUUCCUGAUCAGGCUGUUGCUCACUGCCUCAUCCAGCUACCCUGCCUUCGGCAUCUGAAGGUUCUGUGAUCGGUGAGACAACAGAAAGCCCUGUUUCUCUAAGGUGUCCCCAUCCACGCAGCCACUCUGGGCUAGUUCCUGAGAAGGACUUCCCACGAUCCCCACGUGGUGGAGGUCGCCUCUCUUUCCCACAUGUCCCCGUGCUGCUUGGGAGACAGCAGGACCAUCUCCGGGAGAGGCUGUGACCAGGAGAGAAAGACUAACCUCCCUGCGGACCCUGAGUCUCUGCAAGGUGCCAAGACCCUAUGCUUUUGUGCACAUCAUCCUUUAUAUUCACCCAAACCCAUGACAGAGGCGUGAGCACCAAAUGAGAACGUGAGAGAUUCCAAACUUUCCCAAGAUCUCAUCAUUAAGAGGGCUUUCUUGGUGGCUCAGACAGUAAAAGAAUCUGCCUGCAAUGUGGGAGACCUGGGUUCGAUCCCUGGGUUGGGAAGAUCCCAUGGAGGAGGGCAUGGCAACCCACUUCAGUAUUCCUGCCUGGAGAAUCCCCAAGGACAGAGGAACCUGCUGGGCUACAGUCCACGGGGUCACAAAGAGUCUGACAUGACUGAGCAACUAAGCACAGCACAGAAACAUUAAGAAGUUGCAGAGCCAAGACUCAAAACCAAGUCUAUUUAAUUCGGCAGACCAACCUUAACCUAGGAUGGUCUGUGAUGUCAAUAGAAAUCUAAAUGGAGUCAAAGACAUUAUGCAUUUUCCUUUUUCUACAAGCAUGUGAGCAGUCUUCCUACUAUUUCAGCCACCUGGAUGACACUCCCAGGAAGAGAGCUGGAGGAAGGGCUGACUUCAGGGUCAGAGGAGAGGGACAGUCAUAUAAGAACAAAGUGGGUUUCAUUUUGCCGGAUAUUUGAGGAGAGUCGGACCCGGAGGCAUCUCUGUACUCUUGAAGUAGAGCCGGCAACCAUUUAACCAACAGAAUACAGUGAAUGCGAGAUAACUGCUGUGCCAAUCUGGGGACCAGGCCUUAAGAAACUGGGAAUGUCCCCUUUCUGCCCUUCAGGAAAAACAAAUGAGGGGACUUCCCUCGUGGUUCAGUGGCUGAGAUUCCAAGCUCCCGAUGCAGAGAGCCCAGGUUCGAUCCCUGGUCCGAGAACUGGAUCCCUCAUGCUGCAAUGAAGAUCAAAGAUACUCCAAGGGGCAACUAAGAUCCAGCACAGCCAGACAAAUAAAUGGGGGUGGUGGUUUAGUCACUCAGUCAUGUCGGACUCUGUGACCCCAUGGAACUGUAGCCCCCUAGGCUCCUCUGUCCAUGGGAUUCUCCAGGCAAGAAUACUGGAGUGGGUUGCCAUUUCCUUCUCCAGGGGAAUCUUCCCAACUCAGGGAUUGAACCCUGGUCUCCUACAUUACAGGCAGAUUCUUUACCGGGCUAUUUGUAAAUAAAUAAAUAAAUGAAGACUGAGAACUCG